GACGAACGCUGGCGGUGUGCUUAACACAUGCAAGUCGAGCGGUAAGGCCCUUUCGGGGGUACACGAGCGGCGAACGGGUGAGUAACACGUGGGUGACCUGCCUUUAGCUCUGGGAUAAGCCUGGGAAACUGCGUCUAAUACCGGAUAUGACCCUAUGGCGCAUGUUGUGGGGUGGAAAGCCUUGUGCGGCUAGGGAUGGGCCCGCGGCCUAUCAGCUUGUUGGUGGGGUGAUGGCCACCAAGGCGACGACGGGUAGCCGGCCUGAGAGGGCGACCGGCCACACUGGGACUGAGACACGGCCCAGACUCCUACGGGAGGCAGCAGUGGGGAAUCUUGCGCAAUGGGCGAAAGCCUGACGCAGCGACGCCGCGUGAGGGAUGACGGCCUCGG
rnacentral:rRNA from 1 species